UGGGUNCAGGACAGUGGGUACAGUGCACU
rnacentral:piRNA from 1 species